UAGGGAAUCUUCGGCAAUGGGGGGAACCCUGACCGAGCAACGCCGCGUGAGUGAAGAAGGUUUUCGGAUCGUAAAGCUCUGUUGUUAAGGAAGAACGAGUGUGAGAAUGGAAAGUUCAUGCUGUGACGGUACUUAACCAGAAAGGGACGGCUAACUACGUGCCAGCAGCCGCGGUAAUACGUAGGUCCCGAGCGUUGUCCGGAUUUAUUGGGCGUAAAGCGAGCGCAGGCGGUUAGAAAAGUCUGAAGUGAAAGGCAGUGGCUCAACCAUUGUAGGCUUUGGAAACUGUUUAACUUGAGUGCAGAAGGGGAGAGUGGAAUUCCAUGUGUAGCGGUGAAAGGCGUAGAUAUAUGGAGGAACACCGGUGGCGAAAGCGGCUCUCUGGUCUGUAACUGACGCGGAGGCUCGAAAGCGUGGGGAGCGAACAGG
rnacentral:rRNA from 1 species